CCAGAACCCAUCUGAAGUCCACUGCCGGUCGACCCUCUACCGGACUCCUCAUGAAACUGCACUUUCACAACAAAAAGUCUCUGUUCGAGCUUCUACAGUAGAUGACUCCCACCUGCAGCAUCAGUGCUCUAGGCACCCGACAACAGUGGACUCGUCAGCAACCUCGAAAACAUCCGAGCCUCUCUUAGAUUGCAAAGACAGAGAGCCAUUCCGCUCCUUCAGACAUCCC
rnacentral:lncRNA from 1 species